rnacentral:rRNA from 1 species
GCCAGCCUGAUGCAGCGACGCCGCGUGAGGGAUGGAGGCCUUCGGGUUGUGAACCUCUGUCGCCGGUGAUGUAGGCUCUGCUUUGUGGGUGGGGUUGACGGUAGCCGGGGUAUGAAGUGCCGGCUAACUACGUGCCAGCAGCCGCGGUAAUACGUAGGGCGCGAGCGUUGUCCGGAAUUAUUGGGCGUAAAGAGCUCGUAGGCGGCUGGUCGCGUCUGUCGUGAAAUCCUCUGGCUUAACUGGGGGCGUGCGGUGGGUACGGGCCGGCUUGAGUGCGGUAGGGGAGGCUGGAAUUCCUGGUGUAGCGGUGGAAUGCGCAGAUAUCAGGAGGAACACCGGUGGCGAAGGCGGGUCUCUGGGCCGUGUACUGACGCUGAGGAGCGAAAGCGUGGGGAGCGAACAGGAUUAGAUACCCUGGUAGUCCAUGCUGUAAACGUUGGGCACUAGGUGUGGGGGGUCUUUCCGGGUCUUCCGCGCCGUAGCUAACGCAUUAAGUGCCCCGCCUGGGGAGUACGGCCGCAAGGCUAAAACUCAAAGGAAUUGACGGGGGCCGCACAAGCGGCGGAGCAUGCGGAUUAAUCGAUGCAACGCGAAGAACCUUACC